GCUCUUUAUGCUUUUGAUUGUUGCUCAGAAAGCCUUGAUUAUGAUAUUGGCUUUCGGGCAAUAAUCAUAAUCACGAAAGGGU
rnacentral:pre_miRNA from 1 species